UGAGGAAUAUUGGUCAAUGGGCGUAAGCCUGAACCAGCCAAGUCGCGUGAGGGAAGACGGCCCUAUGGGUUGUAAACCUCUUUUGUCGGGGAGCAAAGCCGCCCACGUGUGGGCGGAAGCAGAGUACCCGAAGAAAAAGCAUCGGCUAACUCCGUGCCAGCAGCCGCGGUAAUACGGAGGAUGCGAGCGUUAUCCGGAUUUAUUGGGUUUAAAGGGUGCGUAGGCGGCAUGGUAAGUCAGCGGUCAAAUCGAGGGGCUCAACCCCUUUCCGCCGUUGAAACUGCCGUGCUUGAGUGGGCGAGAAGUAUGCGGAAUGCGUGGUGUAGCGGUGAAAUGCAUAGAUAUCACGCAGAACUCCGAUUGCGAAGGCAGCAUACCGGCGCCCGACUGACGCUGAGGCACGAAAGCGUGGGGAUCGAACAGGAUUAGAUACC
rnacentral:rRNA from 1 species